rnacentral:rRNA from 1 species
GCAUAACGCGAAGAACCUUACCUAGGCUUGACAUGCAUCUCUAAGCACGUGAAAGCGUGUGACCCUUCGGGGAAUUUGCACAGGUGCUGCAUGGCCGUCGUCAGCUCGUGCCGUGAGAUGUUGGGUUAAGUCCCGCAACGAGCGCAACCCUUGUGACUAGUUGCCAGCACGUCAUGGUGGGAACUCUAGUCAGACUGCCCAGAUCAACUGGGAGGAAGGUGGGGACGACGUCAGGUCAGUAUGGCCCUUACGCCUAGGGCUGCACACGUACUACAAUGCCCAGCACAAUGAGAGCCGAGACCGCGAGGUGGAGGAAAUCUAAAAAACUGGGCCCAGUUCGGAUUGGAGGCUGCAACUCGCCUCCAUGAAGUUGGAAUCGCUAGUAAUGGCGCAUCAUCUACGGCGCCGUGAAUACGUUCCCGGGUCUUGUACACACCG